UCAUUCUUUCCUUUCUUUCAUUAUUUUUCUUCUUCUCCCACUGGCAGCAAACUUCCACGCCAUUCUCUUCUCUCUUUCCGUUUCCAAUUUUGUUAUUGUUGCAUCCACACAACUCCCUCAUCACCGUAAAUACACACACACAAACCACAAAUAAUUAUUUGAUCUCCUUUCUCUUUUCCCUGUGGCUGGCCGUGAGCAAGGAGGAAGUGGAGAUUCCGGCACCGUUUCGUCGUUUCUUGACCGAUCGUCGCACUGACAGUUGCUACGCGUAGACCUCGAGGUUCGUUUGUGGAAACCUUGGACUUGACUGAGCAAGCUUGUGAGUGUGACUUACACUGUAAUUCUGGAGGAACUAGAGACGUUCAACAGUUGAUUCGUGAUGGUUCGUCGUUCGGGGAGGACCCAGAGCGAAAUGACUACUACUGAGCCUUCGACGUGGACCCAAACUUCUUGCAGGAUCGGAUGAGGGUCGAUGUUAGGGGUGUAGUAUAUGGGGUUUCGUUGUCAUAGUUCUGAUUUUCAUUUCUUAUUUUGGGGCAGGGUAGGUCCCCGAUUAUUAGUUUUUUGUGUGGUUCUCUUCCAUGAGGAUCACAGGGAGUUUGUCGGACGUAGGAGGUCCUUUGGAGGCCGUUUUGGGCUGACUUACUUUCUUGGAUGACUGUAUUUAUAAAACGUAUGACUCUGACUAUGGGUCACACUUAUUUGCCUGCGGGCACUACUUUCAGUUACUUGAUGUUACUUUCCGUCACUUGAGGACACUCGUGACGAUGUUUUUAGUUGUUGCGAGGGCUGUACUUAUAUUGUAUA